ACAUGAAAGAUAAUUGAGUCUACUUUCCAGGAAAAAAAACCUCAUCUCAUUUAGAGCUCUGUAGAAAACGUUAUGGGUAAAACAUUGAGCAAAGGUCAGAGCUGUCCAGUUCCAGCGUGAAUUUUCGUAAUUACUGUAGCAGUUUCGUUUUUAUUGUUUUAAUUUCAUUUUCGUGCAUGGUGAAACCUUUUCAAACCCCCCCCU
rnacentral:lncRNA from 1 species